rnacentral:rRNA from 1 species
AGUGAACGCUGGCGGUAGGCCUAACACAUGCAAGUCGAACGGCAGCACAGUAAGAGCUUGCUCUUACGGGUGGCGAGUGGCGGACGGGUGAGGAAUACAUCGGAAUCUACUUUUUCGUGGGGGAUAACGUAGGGAAACUUACGCUAAUACCGCAUACGACCUACGGGUGAAAGCAGGGGAUCUUCGGACCUUGCGCGAUUGAAUGAGCCGAUGUCGGAUUAGCUAGUUGGCGGGGUGAAGGCCAACCAAGGCGACGAUCCUUAGCUGGUCUGAGAGGAGGAUCGGCCCAACGGAACUGAGACACGGUCCAGACUCCUACGGGAGGCAGCAGUGGGGAAUAUUGGACAAUGGGCGCAAGCCUGAUCCAGCCAUACCGCGUGGGUGAAGAAGGCCUUCGGGUUGUAAAGCCCCUUUGUUGGGAAAGAAAAGCAGCAGGUUAAUACCCCGCUGUCCUGACGGUACCCAAAGAAUAAGCACCGGCUAACUUCGUG